UACGUAGGCAGCAAGCGUUGUUCGGAAUUACUGGGCGUAAAGAGUGUGUAGGCGGUGCUCUAAGUUCGGUGUGAAAUCUCCCGGCUCAACUGGGAGGGUGCGCCGGAAACUGGGGUGCUGGAGCGCGGGAGAGGAAAGCGGAAUUCCUGGUGUAGCGGUGAAAUGCGUAGAUAUCAGGAGGAACACCGGCGGUGUAGACGGCUUUCUGGACCGUAGCUGACGCUGAGGCACGAAAGCGUGGGGAGCAAACAGG
rnacentral:rRNA from 1 species